CUCACUUCCGUCCUUCGAGAACAAGCUGACUUCCCGAGAGGUGGCGCUCGCACUUUACGUGAAGUCCACUGGAGCGCCUGACCUAGAAGCCGAGGCGGCGCUCCUGCGUGGUGAUUUUCCUGGCUCGCGGCCUGUCAAGCAGUGAGCCAUUUGCUGAGUACCUGCUGUGUGCCAGGCGCUAACCUGGGCCCUGGGGAUAAACCAUGCAGUCUUGGAGCUUGUGGCGCUGGGGUGCGGAGGAGGGGCAAACGGCGCAUUAGCAGGGAGCUGGAUCGGAAGCAGAGCAGCCAAGACAGGACAAUCAGCGCCCGUAUGGGAUGCGGAAGUCACAGGCAGAGGCUUAACCUGCUGAGCCACAGUGCUGGCCUCUGAAGGCCAGCUCUCUGCCGUGGCCUGGGAAGGCAGUGGAAGAUGGCCCAAGUCCUUGGACCCUGCACCCCAUGGGAGACCAGGAGAAGCACCUGGAUCCUGGCUUCGAUCAGCGCGGUGCGCUAGCCACAGUGGCCCUUGCGGGGUAAACCAACGGAAAAGGAAGACCUUUCUCUCUGUCUCUCUCACUGUAUACUCUGCCUGUCAAAAAAAAAAAAAAAAAAGAGCCUCUACAUUAUAAGAUUCUUGUGGGGCCAGCGCCGUGGCUAAUCUCCACCUGCGGCGCUGGCACACCGGGUUCUAGUCAGGGCGCUGGAUUCUGUUCUGGUUGCCCCUCUUCCAGGCCAGCUCUCUGCUGUGGCCAGGGAGUGCAAUGGAGGAUGGCCCAAGUGCUUGGGCCCUGCACCCCAUAGGAGACCAGCAGAAGCACCUGGCUCCUGCCAUCGGAU